GGGGAGCUGGGAUCCAGCCCGGGGGUCUGGAGUAGGGUUGGAGGGGGGACUGAGGGAUGCUGGGGUUUAACUGGGGGGCACUGGUGAGCAGCUGGGGGGACUGGGAUGGGACUGGGAAGCCUGGGGGGGCAGGAGGGGGAUGACUGGGGGUUGCUGGGGCUCAGCUGGGGGGACUGGGAGUGGACGGGAGGUGGACUGGGGGAUACUGGGAUCCAGUUUGGGAGUGUCAGAGUGGAACUGGGCGUGCUGGGCUGCAACUGGGUGAACUGGAAGUGGACUGGGGAGGCCCAGGAUGAACCAACUGGGUAAACUGGGGCCCCCAGUGGGGAUUUGGGGGCUGGGGGGGUCCCGAUAUUUUGGGGGAGUGGGGGGGCGGUUUGGGGGAUCCUGGGGCUUUUAGGGGGGCUGGAGCUGUCCCUCAUUGUCCCCUCCUCCCCCAGGUGCAGCCACCAACCCAACCCCCCCGUGUGUGUGUGUGUGUGUCCCCCCAGUGUCCCCCCAGUGUCCCCCCCAGCCGAGAUGAGGCAGAGCCCCCCGGAGCAGAGCUUGGGCCAGGUAGGACCUGGGGGGGGGACACGGAGGGGACACAGCUGGUGUCACCUCGGGGUGGGGGGGGGACACAGCUGGUGUCACCUCGGGGAGGGGGGGGGACACGGAGGGGACACAGCUGGUGUCACCUCGGGGAGGGGGACAUGGGGGGGACACAGCUGGUGUCACCUCGGGGGGGGGGGGGGGGACACGGAGGGGGGGUGAGGACAUUGACUUGUCACCCGUUGUCACGGGGACGGUGACACAGCUCUGUCUCCUGCCGGCGUGGGGACAAUGACACAGGGGCUGUGGCCCCCUCCAGCACGGGGACACCUUGUCCUCGCCGCUGGGGGGGUGGGGGACGUGGGUUUGUGUCCCCCCCUACCCCCCGGUGGUUGGGGACGGUGACAGGGGUUUGUCACCCCCCCGGUGCGGGUUUGUCACCGCUGUUCUGGGGACAAUGACACCGGUUUGUCACCCGCUGGCACAGGUUUGUCCGUGCUGUUCUGGGGACAGUGACGGGAGGCUGUUCCCUUGGUUUUGGGGACAGGGACAGGGAUUUGUCACCUCCCCGCACAGGUUUGUCACCGCUGUUCUGGGGAUGGUGACAGGAAUUUGUCACCCCCAGCACAGGUUUGUCCCCGCUGUUCUGGGGACAGUGACACCGGUUUGUCACCCCCCAGCACAGGUUUGUCCCUGCUGUUCUGGGGACAGUGACGGGAGGCUGUUCCCUUGGUUUUGGGGACAGGGACAGGGAUUUGUCACCUCCCCGCACAGGUUUGUCCCUGCUGUUCUGGGGACAGUGACGGGAGGCUGUUCCCUUGGUUUUGGGGACAGUGACAGGGAUUUGUUACCAGCUGGCACGGCUUUGUCCCUGCUGUUUUGGGGACGGUGACACCGGUUUGUCACCUCCCAGCACGGGUUUGUCCCUGCUGUUCUGGGGACAGUGACACUGGUUUGUCACCCCCAGCCCAGGUUUGUCCCUGCUGUUACGGGGACACUGGCAGGUGUUUGUCACCCUCUGGCACAGGUUUGUCCCCAGUGCUGUGGGGACAGUGAUCCUGGGUUUGUCCCCACAGGGUUCUGUGCUGGGUUGCUGCUGGGGGUUACUGGUGGCCACUGGUGGGCCCCAUUAGCAUCAUUUCCCCCCCCCUCCCCUGGUGCUGGGGCGUUACUGGGGGUUACUGGUGGUUACUGGUGGGCACCAAUUCCCCCCUCCCUGAUCCUCUCUGGGUACUGGGGGUUACUGAUGGUUACUGGUGGGUACCAUUGCCCCCUCCCUGACCCUCUCUGGGUGCUGGGGGUACUGGUGGUUAUUGGUGGGCACCAUUCCCCCCAUGUCUGACUCUCCCCCGGUGCUGGGUGAUUACUGGUGGCCGCUGGUGGUUCCUGGUGGUUCCUGGUGGCCCCUGGUGGUUCCUGGUGGCUGCUGGUGGCUCCUGGUGGUUCCUGAUGGUCCCUGGAGGCUGCUGGUGGUCCCUGGUCGCUGCUGGUGGCUCCUGGUGGUGCCUGGUGGCUCCUGGUGGCCGCUGGUGGUGCCUGGUGGCCCCUGGUGGCCCCUGGUGAUUCCUGGUGGCUCCUGGUGGCCCCUGGUGAUUCCUGGUGGUCCCUGGUGACUGCUGGUGGUCCCUGGUCGCUGCUGGUGGCUCCUGGUGGUGCCUGGUGGCUCCUGGUGGUCGCUGGUGGUCCCUGGUGGCUCCUGGUGGCCCCUGGUGAUUCCUGGUGGUCCCUGGUGACUGCUGGUGGUCCCUGGUGGCCGCUGGUGGCUCCUG
ensembl:lncRNA